AGAGGCGCUGCAGAAAAAGAGUACUGUUUAUGCUUGACCUGAUUUUGCGAACCUAACGGCGUCCAUUUAACGUAUAUUAAUACAUGAUUAAAGUUAUUUAAUCACAGACUAAGAAGAAAAAAGGCAUGCUAUAUCACAUUUUAUGCUUCUAUUUAUUUCAUGUACACAUUUUUGCAAUUUUUACAGAACCAUGGUAUCUCAGUAUUUUCUGGGUAUUCUUCACACAUUCUGUGGAACCAAUCCAUGCAGUUAACACACUCAAUCAUUUCCCAGUUUUCCGAUGAUUGGCUGUAUGCAGUCCUGCGACAAUGGCAAAACACAGAAAUCUUGUGUAUUUCAUCUACGUGAACCCUGGUGUUACGUUUCAUGGCACUUGGAAAUAAUGUGUUUUACAAAGGCUGGACAUGCAACUGAGUAUGUGUUCAUUGUGCGAGUUGUUUUUUCUAAGGCUGUCAUAGAGUGAGACAUGUCCAGAAUCACCAAAGCCUUUUGCGACAAGCACCCAGUGAUCUUUAGCAUUGUGUACUAGCUGAAGCCAUUGUUCUCCAGUUGCAACUGGGAACUCAAGAGCGCCUCCAAUGGUACAGCAAAACAACCCACCAAUGGUUGGGUGUUGCUGUUUAAGAAGAACUUGAGCGUAGUUAAUUUGUCCUGAAGUAAGCUGGCUAGUAUUUGUAAUUGGUUGAAGGUUCUCCAAAAACAGCAUGGGCUCAUCCACACCCUUUCGUCUACGUUUAACAGGCUCGUGUUCCUGCUUUGUCAAAGCAGGUUCCACGCAAAUAAUUGAAGAAUCGUUAGCGGGGAUGAUCGGUGUUGACGAUGGAUGGUUUACAUCCGCAAUAGAAGCGAUACGGUCAUCCGGAGCAUAAAAGUUGCCUUCUUCUUGUCGAAUGGCAUUUCCUUUCAACAGCACGGGGUCAUCACCACACUUUCGCAUACGUUUAACAGGCUCGUGUUCCUGCUUUGUUAAAGCAGGUUUCACGCAGAUCAUUGAAGAAUCGUUAGCGGGGCUGAUCGGUGGUGAUGAUGGAUGGUUCACAUCUGCAAUCGAAGCGAUACGGUCAUCAGCAGCAUAGAAGUUGUCUUCUUCUUGUCGAAUGGCAUUUUCUUCGUCCAAUAACUCUUUGGCCACUGAGCUGAUAGGCUCAACACGAGCUUUCUUCACUUGCUUGUGAAAAGAAUGAAAAUAACCUUUAUUUUCCUUCGGCCGCCCUCUUUUCUUCACUUCCACUGGAAGGUGGAGUGAUGACCAUUGAUGAGGCAAAGUCUGAUAAAAUCAAAAAUGAUUAAUCACCUAUAAGUUCCAAAUCAAAUUAAUUUUACCUUUUCCUCGAUUGUAGUAGGAGUAAACGGCUUUAGAGGAUCAGACGAAGCAUGGAUUUUCGGUUCAAUUUCGCCGGAAUCAACAGUACUACUUGAAGCCAGAUUAUUGCUUUGUGCAUCAUUCGCCUGAUGUACUAGCCUUACUGGCUUAUUCAUUUUGACCAAGUCGUGGAUGUUUAUGAAAAGCUGCAGUUUGUCCUGGAAAUCAGGUUCAGACAAAAUACUUAGUGUAUUGGCCAGUUUCUUGAAGAGAUCUGAAGCCAUGUUGUAUUGUUCCCUCUCCGUCUUUGGCAUUCUGUGUCUUUUAGACGUCUGUACCCUAGUAGGAGACGUAACGCUAGGCGUAACAAUUGCGUCGUCCUAAAAAAGGCACUGGUUUCUCCAAUGAUGCGAAAAGGCUCCUGCCGGGAUUUCAGUUUUCUCUUCGACGUGAAAGUGAAUAAUAUGGCGGCAAGGUAGCCCAAAUUGCAUGAAAAAAGAACAUCUGCAACCGCUUAAGUCUACUUUCAACUUGUAUGUCGUGUUCCGCGAUGAAAUGUGGCAAAAGGCGAUAUGGACCCAGCAAAUUUACUCACCGCUGGAUGUUUUUCCUGUACCGCAAAUCGUAGAUCUUGAAUCCUUUGCUUCAGUUGCCUGUCGCUUAGUCGGAUGAGGACAAUGUCGAUCAGGCCUUUAAGAACCUUAUCGAAUCUCCUUGACUUCUGGAAAACCUCCUUAAUAGUGUGACGAAACCUGUUGUGGCGAUUGGUGGUAUUGUUUCCCAACGUACACAGAUCACGACGGCCAAGGUUAGUCCACUUCUCCGCGAUAUUAAACCAAUUGUCCUCAAAAUAGGAUGCAAUGGUUCCGUGACCUACAGGUACACCAUAUUAUCGUCAAAAACAGCUUCCGUUCCAGCGUACAUGUUUUCUUCAAAUGGCUAUCAACUGCCUUAAGAACGUGGAAUUGACAAAGGAUGUGCUUUGCAUCGGGAAAAUGCCGUUCUAAAGCGGAUAUCUCGGCGCAAUCCUUAUCGACAUGCGGAAAUGGCUUCCGUUGUCUCUUCUUUCAGGAAGAACAACGCCACUGGUUGUCCAGAGCCAUUGUUGUCUUCAAUAAGCAAGUGGUAAAGGGCAAAGCCUGCUUGUGUUGUCCUAUACGUCCCAUCCAGCUGGAGAAGUUUUCCGUACUUUUCGUACAACUUGCGCUGCCUCUCCAUCUGAACGAAAAUAGCAGCAACCUCUCCAUCAGCAUCAUGGAGAACGUUGACGACAUUAUUUUCGUCUUUCUGGAGAGCUUCAAGGAACUUCACAGUAUCCCUCCAUUCGUCUUCGGACUACCCUGUAAUAAUAGUAAAUAAGAUCUUUGCUGAUAAGAUGCGUGUCGAACUUCUCCUGCAGCAUCAUACGCAAUUUUGUUGGUUGGGCACCCGUUUCCAGGGAAUCUUUGGCAAAGAUUAAAGCCUCAGAUGGCAUAUGUCUUCAAUCAAAUGUCGAGGUUUUCACAUGCUCCUCAGAUACCGGAUGAUUCUGAUGUUCCAAGUUUAAGUUGGUGAUCUUAAAUUUAUGCUGGUCGGAGUCAUAGACAAAUUGAAUUUGCACCGGACAACCGUUGGCCAUUACAUUUUUAUUCAGCCGCAAUCCCUUUUUGGCACGAGACUUGUGACAUCCGAAAUGCGGGCAAAUGUAUUGGAUCCUGUAGUACCCCAAGCUAAGAUCUAAUUUUAGCUUAUUUUUGGGGUUUUUAUUGUACACCCUGAUAGAUUCCGUUCUAUCGCGCCGCAAAUAAACGUUUUCCUUCUCUAA